rnacentral:rRNA from 1 species
CAGGACGAACGCUGGCGGCGUGCUUAACACAUGCAAGUCGAACGGACGAAUACCCUUCGGGGGUAUGAGUUAGUGGCGGACGGGUGAGUAACGCGUGAGUAAUCUGCCUUGGAGUGGGGAAUAACACAGGGAAACUUGUGCUAAUACCGCAUAACGUCACGAGAUGGCAUCAUUUUGUGACCAAAGAUUUAUUGCUCCAAGAUGAGCUCGCGUCCGAUUAGAUAGUUGGCGGGGUAAUGGCCCACCAAGUCGACGAUCGGUAGCCGGACUGAGAGGUUGGCCGGCCACAUUGGGACUGAGACACGGCCCAGACUCCUACGGGAGGCAGCAGUGGGGAAUAUUAGGCAAUGGGGGAAACCCUGACCUAGCGACGCCGCGUGAAGGAUGAAGGUUUUCGGAUUGUAAACUUCUUUGGCAGGGGACGAUAAUGACGGUACCCUGAGAACAAGCCACGGCUAACUACGUGCCAGCAGCUGC